CACGGGUGAGUAACACGUAUCCAACCUGCCGUCUACUCUUGGACAGCCUUCUGAAAGGAAGAUUAAUACAAGAUGGCAUCAUGAGUCCGCAUGUUCACAUGAUUAAAGAUAUUCCGGUAGACGAUGGGGAUGCGUUCCAUUAGAUAGUAGGCGGGGUAACGGCCCACCUAGUCUUCGAUGGAUAGGGGUUCUGAGAGGAAGGUCCCCCACAUUGGAACUGAGACACGGUCCAAACUCCUACGGGAGGCAGCAUG
rnacentral:rRNA from 1 species